rnacentral:lncRNA from 1 species
UCGUCUGGACUUGAUUUCCGCAAAAUGUUCCCGAAUUUCUAACCAGAAUGGACAAUUUUGGGAAAUCCGUCUCUUUUGACCGGUCAUCGGACGUUCCGGAUUGUAUUCCCUGAUUUCCCCACUUCUCGGCAGCCUUGGAAGCCGCGGCUUCAUGAGAGACUCCUUCUUGGGAACCAUGUUCCGGAUCAACGAUGUAAAGUGACAUCCAGCUCCAGAUGGCAACGUCCCGGCCAAGUUUUCGAAGAACCGGUGCAAACAAACGGAAUAUGUUCAACCCGGAAUCAAAGGCGGACGACCGCUGGACUCUACUGGAACCUUCCGUCGAUUUCACCCGGAACAACGAUGCAUUCCGCUGCAGAAAGGCAGGUUCUGACUGGUUCCAAUCCGAGGAGGAUGGUGUUCCUGGUUGGCAUUUUAGUGUAUUCAUUAUUUUAUUGUGUAUUUA